AUUGAGUUGACAGAUGAGAAUGGCAAGGUGACGAAUUUGGUCCAGAACCAUUAUACAUCACAGUUCCUAAGUGAGAGAGAGUUUUGUGUACUACUCAGAGUUACAUGACAUGAAGGUUCUCAAGAAGCUGUGUUUAUGCCACUGUUGAAAGAUCACAGCAUUGUCACUCCAAAGUUCCCAUGUUGGUGGCCUAAGCUAAAUUGGGAAAGUGGAAAGAUUUGAAAGUGUCACCUACUGACUGAAAACUAGAAAAUGUGGCAAGCAAACAAUCUUGCUUUUGGAAGUUCCAUCCACAGAAGCAGAGAUUGACAUGGACCAGCAGCAUUGUGGUGUCUGCUGAAGAGGUUCCUUGCUCUAGAGGUGGUGCUGCCAGGAAAGAUCAGUGGUAGGCUAAGUUAUCCUUCCUUGUGUGAGAUACAGAACCUGCAAAACUUACCUGAAAAGACCCUGCUGGAAAAUGGAAUUUCUUCGUGUUUUCCUGAUGAUCAAAUCUGCAACUUGCUGAAUUGUGAUGCUGACAAAGAAGGCAGUAUAGCCAGUCCACUGCAGGAAUAUUGAGGCGCUUAGCAAUAUCUUCCACGGUCUCGCUGGUGGCUGAAAUGAUGCCUACACUCUUGGCAAUGGCCUUAGCAGUGAUUGGGUGAUCGCCAGUGACCAUGAUAACCUGAGGAAGGGACAAGCACUUAGGACUCCGUGAAACCAAGAUGUGUUUAUCCCUCAUGGUGGCUUCAAGUAGCACAUUCACGUUGAAGAGCAUUCCAGUUCUGCUUCCUACAUGCUGCGGUGCAAUAUAUACCGGUCUGUCAGCAGUUAUUUACAAUCUAAAGGUAAGUUCCGAAUCUUCAAAGCUGCCCAUCAUGUGGUUUGAUUUUCAAAACUGGAGAAGUGCUGUCAGUGUAAAACGUGUUGCUUGAAAUUGUACAUCUGGCCUGGGCAUACGGCUGCCUCCUUCUGUGACCUUACAAAGUCCAUUACGUGGGCAGAGCCUUCUGUAGUGUCACGGUAAGCAUGAAUAUGCAUUUUCUUAUGUGCAUUUCUCCUUUUUUUUUUUCCCUUCAGAACAAAACCUGGCUGCAAUACUAGCACAUUAGGCAGGAGAGGGAGCUUUUACCUUGGGAUGGCACAUCACUGGCUGUGAUUAAUUCCUUUGGUUUUUGUGAGCGUGGGGUGUCGUUGCAUUAUAAAGCAUGUUUAUGGAGAUAAUCCACUUAUCAGCCCAAGCACACAUUCUCUCUUCACUAGAUGACAAAUUAGUUCUUUCCUUACUGAGAGAGAUUAUAAGGGCUACCCUAACCUAGAGUAACAGGGGAGGGCAUGGCACGAAACUGAUAACAUCAGAAUCAAAAGUAGGAGCAGGAGACAAAAAAGAAAUGCAUUGAAAAAUGGCUACAAAAUACAAGCAAUCUGCUAAAGCAACUCAUUCAUCAAGGGGAUUUGGCCUUGCCCUACUCUAAUCUAAAUUGAAUCUAAUUUAGAUUCCAAGCAAGGGAUGGGAAUCCUUUCCUGAACCAAAACAAGCCUUGCCACCUCCUACCUUUUCAUUACUCAUUCCUUAAUUUGUUUGGGUUUGUUAUGUAGGACGCUCAGGAAGAAUAGCUUAAAGCUGUGUGUGCCUGUGCUGAAUCUGGUGGUGUGAUCGCUGCUUUGCUGUACGUUGGGUUGACUUUUUGAGGCAGUAAGAGCACCCAGAGCUGGCAGCGUGCCUCUGCCUGAGGCCCCCAGGAACUUAGGCGUGAACAUCUUUCUCUUCUUCCCUGAAUGCUCGCUUACUUGCACUGCUACUUGACCUAGUCUGGGGGAGUCCAUUGCAGCCUCAGGCUCGAGCAGUUUCUCUGUUUUUUCACUCUAAAAAUCCUCUCUGCUGGUGCCCAGAUGCAUCAAGACUGCCCCAGAGGAAGGGACUGGCGGGUAGUUUUCUUCAUUUUUGAGAUAUUCUUGCUGACCUACUUUCUGUUCUUGCAUUAUACACUGAUAAACAGCAAAGCUCAGCCUCCUGGUUUGUGUAUGUCUGAGAAGACCAAAUGGUGUAAAUCCUUCUCUGAGGCUUGUCAGGGCUCCCAGCACCUGAGCUGAGUUCAGA